rnacentral:rRNA from 1 species
AUUGAACGCUGGCGGCAUGCUUUACACAUGCAAGUCGAACGGUAACAGGCCGCAAGGUGCUGACGAGUGGCGAACGGGUGAGUAAUGCAUCGGAACGUGCCCAGUCGUGGGGGAUAACUGCUCGAAAGAGCAGCUAAUACCGCAUACGAUCUAUGGAUGAAAGCGAGGGACCGUAAGGCCUCGAGCGAUUGGAGCGGCCGAUGUCAGUUUAGGUAGUUGGUGGGGUAAAGGCUCACCAAGCCAACGAUCUGUAGCUGGUCUGAGAGGACGACCAGCCACACUGGGACGGAGACACGGCCCAGACUCCUACGGGAGGCAGCAGUGGGGAAUUUUGGACAAUGGGGGCAACCCUGAUCCAGCAAUGCCGCGUGCAGGAAGAAGGCCUUCGGGUUGUAAACUGCUGUUGUACGGAACGAAACGGUCUGGGUUAAUACCCUGGGCUAAUGACGGUACCGUAAGAAUAAGCACCGGCUAACUACGUGCCAGCCGCCGCGGUAAAAC